GCCAGGCAUGGUGGUGUGCAUCUGUAGUCCCAGCUACUUGGGAGGCUGAGGCAGGAGGCUUACUUGAGCCCAGGAGGUCUAGACUGCAGUGAGCCAUGAUUGUACCACUGCACUCCAGCCUGAGUGACAGAGUGAGAUCCUGUCUCAA
ensembl:misc_RNA Metazoa_SRP Metazoan signal recognition particle RNA